UUCAAUCUUAUGGUAUUAUGAUUCAUACUUCAGUGAAAGCGCGGCUGAUAAUUGAUUGUAGAUUCGCUAUGGAUUCUUAUGAGGUGACUGAUUCAUCUCCAUUUGUUUCGAUUUAUUGAUACAGACUUGUGCUAAAUUAAGAUCGAUUGAUUAUGCUUUGCCUGUGUGUUCCCAUUUUGAGGGUUCUCGUUGAGUUAUCGUAAGGUUUGGAAAAUUUAUUAGCUAAUGAUCCGGAAAAGACUUCGCCCAAAUGCGAUUACUGCUAGAACCAUGAUUGAUUCGUUAUGUAAAUAAGAGAUGGGAAGAUUGAAGAAGCUCAUUGAUUAAUGCAAGAGAUGGAAAACAUGGGUUUGAAGUCAUAUCCUGAGAGCUUUAAUCUGUGUGCUAUAUCAGGACAUUCAGAAGAAAGCUUGAGAAUGUGUGUGAAAAUGUUAGGAAGAGGGUUUCUUCCCAGUUGUUAAGCUUUCAAUGUGGCAAUAGCUAAGAUUUGUGAGGGAGGAGAUGUGAAAAAUGUUAGAAAUCACGAACUUUCGCAAUGGUAUGAUAUUGUCCACUUUGAGCAUAAGCUCUCGUGCCUUUGCUUUUGGGUUCCCCAAAAAGUCUUAUACCAAUGGAGAUGUAUUUCUUAUGAUCAUCCCCUUAAUUAGUCAACGUGAGACUCCCUUGCAACAAUCCUCCCCUCAAACAAAGUACACCAUGGAGCCUCCCCUAAGGCUUAUGGAGCCCUCGAACGGUCUCCCCUUCAUUGAGGCUCAACUCCUUUCUCUGGAGUCCACUUCCUUUUCUAGAGCCAUCAAACAAAAUACACCGUUUGUUCGAUACUUGAGUUACUUUUGACUACUCCUUCGAGGCUCACAACUUCUUUGUUCAACAUUUAAGGAUUCUAUUGACAUUGCUAAGUUAAGGGCAUGACUUUGAUAACAUGUUAGAGAUCACUAGCCUCCACAAUGGUAUGAUAUUGUCCACUUUGAACAUAAGCUCUCAUGACUUUGCUUUUGAUUUCUCAAAAGGCCUCAUACCAAUGGAGAUGUAUUCCUUAUUUAUAAACCCAUGAUCAUCCCCUUAGGACUCCGACUCAACAAUCCUCGACCAAAAAGGCUAAUGCAAUGUUAACCAUUUUGUUAGAUAAAAGGUUUUUUACCUGAUAAAACCACUUACACCAACCUAACCUUAGGGUAUAGGAAAAAGGGUGAAAUUCAGGAGAUUCUUAAGCUUUAUUAUGAAAUGGAAGCAAGAUUACUAUGUCCUGGAGUGUCAGUUUUCUUUGCACUCAUUGGGAGCCUUUGUCAAUCUGGGAAAUUGGAGGAAGCAGAGAAAUAUUUGAAGAUCAUGAAAGAUAGUUCUCUAACACCAAGUGUACCAAUAUAUCAAACACUAACCUUGUUCAACUUGAAGAAGGGUAAUCGAGCAAAAGCUCUAGAACUGUAUAAUGAGAUGAUGUUCAAUGGAUAGAAGAUUUUCUGUUUCCAAACAUGUGCAGGUUUUGACAUGGAACUGACCCGUUGAUCUGCACUUCCUCGGACAGAGUAAUUAACAUUUAAAGAAGCUACUCGUUCGAAAGAAAUCGAGCCAUUGGAGCAAAACAAAUGAUUUGAAGGAACGAUUCAAUUGGCCAAAAAAAUGGGUGAACAGAUAUCCAAUCAAGGAAGU